UUUCCCUCAUGAGAAGUGAAUACUGAGGAUAACAUUAACGCUGAAUAGCUGUGCCUAUAUUUAGAUAGUAAUAUCUAGCUAUAUCAUAAUAUAGUUAAUAAACAGGCACAUGUCAUUAUUAUGAUUAGUAACGUGCUAGUUUUUAUGGAGUCCAUGCCAGUGCCUUAGAGUGUGUCAUAUGGAGUGUGACAGGGUUAAGCAGAGAAGGAGUGCAAGCCCCACCCCGGCACUAGGGUGUUGCCAGACUUGUGUAACAUGCGUAUGCCCAGGUAAGCAGGCACAAGGGGAACAUGAAUGCAGUCUGACAAGUCGGGUAAGAAUUGACAGGAGGCGAUUUAGGGAAGAGAACCCCUGGACGUCUCCUAGCAACAAGCGAGCUGUAGGUGCAGCAGGUGUAGCAAACGUGCUCAGUGCUGCUGCUCUGCCUGAGGAGGCUAAGGGCUGCCACAGUCGUGAGGGGAAAGGGCAGGCACGUCUAAGGAUUACCUGCUCAGGGCACGACAAACUGCAGUGUGUGGGUGGAGAAGAACUACACGGAUAAACCCUUCCAGGCUGAUUGGAGCAUUCUCUGGCAUGGUUACAAAUGUGCUCUCUGCUUCUGCUGCGAACACAUUGUUCACAAGUAACACAUUCUUUUCCUAAAGGAACAAUAGGGAUACGGGAAUAGCAGGCGGACUCGGGCACAUUGCGUGCCUCCCUGAAGGAAAAUGAUGAGGUACGGCUCCGCGGCGACUGUCACUACUUCAGAGACUGCGAGUUCCCAGAAACCAGGAGGAGUUUGCCGGUUGCGUCUCACGUUGCCUGCAGAAGCAAGCUUACGGCCGAAGCAAGAAGAAAUUAAUAGAGACACUUCUGUAAACGCUGAUAUUAGAAGCACAAACGAAAGGAGGAAAAAAAGAAAUGGCUAUGUUUUGUCUGAAAAGAACACAGCGGAGCCACCAACCCUUCAUCUCUACACCAUUCCCAAAAACAAUACACCAUCUGCAGUGGCUUCCAGUGGAGUGGUGUAUGGUGUUGUGCAGAGGGCUGAAAACAACCAUCAGAAUGAGGUUGUUGUCUAUGAGUGGUCUACUAACCAGCUGAAGGAAGAGAUGAACUACAUCAAAGAUGUGAGAGGAACUUUGGAAAAAAUCAGAGAGAAAAUGUUUGGAGAGUAUGAUGAGAUGAAACAAAAAGUUAAACAGCUCACUCAAGAAAUAAAAGUUUCAUCAGUGCAGAAGGAGUUCUUGGAGAGCCACUCCCAGGCGCAAUCUACAGCACUGGACACCUUUGGAACAAUCAACAGUUCCCUGAAUGCAGCUUCUAUAGAAAUGCAGAAAACUCUAGUGGAUAUGACCUUGGAAAACACCAACAUUAAGGAUGAAAUGAAGAAUAUAAAACAUUCGUAUGAAGAAUCCUUGGUCAGACUGAAAGAGAAGCAGCAGUUGUUGGACUCUGCCCAAACUGAAAACCAGUUGUUAAAAGUCAAGAUUGAAUCCUCCCAGGAAGCUAAUGCUGAGGUCAUGAGAGAGAUGACACGAAAAUUGUACAGUCAGUAUGAAGAAAAGCUUCGUCAAGAGGAACUGAAAUAUACUGCAGAAAAAGAUAUGCUUGUGGAUCAAACAAGGCAGUACCUAAAAGCAAUUGAAGAUGCUAGCGAGAAGGUUCGCCUUGCUGAGAAUAAAAUUGAAGAAAGAGAUGCAAAAAUUGCAGAACUUGACAAAUUAGUGCAUCGCAUGGAACAGGAACGAGAGCAUCUGCAAGACCAAUUGAUUAGACAUGAAGAACGAAUACAAGAUCUUGAUAACAGGAUGCAGAUGCAAUCACCAGACAGGAACCAACGUUUAGAAGAGGUUGCAACAAGUUUAAGAGAGCGCAUUAAGCACCUGGAUGACAUGGUUCAUUGCCAACAAAAGAAGGUUAAACAUAUGAUUGAAGAGAUUGAAUUGCUUAAGAAAAAGGUUCACUACAAAGACUUACUUAUCCAGCAGCUGCUAGAACGGAUUGCCUUUCUGGAAGGAGAGAACACAGAGCUACAAGAUAAGGUGGACUACUUGAUGGCAAACAAACCAAAAACUGACAAAGAAACCAAAGAUAUUGGAACAUCAUGUAAUCUUUCAGAAAGUCAAAGGAUUCUAACUGUCUGUGUAACCGAAAAUGAGGCCCGAUCAAUAUUCAGUAUCUGAACGACUGGCUGCUAUUGUUUUACAAUACAGCAGCCAGGGGAUAUAAGAGAAGUGCAUCAGUUGAUGGCUCUACACAGUCCACUUCAGUAAAUAAUGAAGACAUCCCUGAUGGAUACAGCAGAGAAAAACAUUCCAGAAUGCCUGCCAAGCGAUCAUACACUCCUUACAUGAGGGUUCUACAAAUGAGCAUGAGUCACAAGGUCUCCUAAAUACAGGUUCAGCAAGACAAGUUGAUAACUGACAACUCAACAACCAAAUAAGAUUUAUAUCUUGUAUUAUGAAGCCAUGAAAAGAUUUUCUUCUUGAACUCCAGCUGCAACAUUCUGCAUUUUGUUUCCCAUUGUAAAGUGGCUACAGAAGCUACACUUUAGUUUGUACUACCCUCAGCCCCCUUCAUUUCCAUGCAAACAAAAGUAAGCCAUAUUCUUGUUAAGAGGUCUUUGUAACCUGAAGAUACAAGAUGAAUGUUGCAGAUGCUUAAGCUAUACCUAGAGCCAUCUUCAACUGAGCCAAAACUGACAAGCCCAGCAUCACCGUUCUAUGCAAGAAAUAUAUGCUACAUUCUAUCUGUGGUUGCUGAGUGGAUAUCAUGAAGAACUGCUGGCCUCUAGCCAUCCCCACUGCGUCUUUAAAUGUAUAAGGGGCCCCUGUGAUAGGGGUUCUACAUGUAUAGUGUCAGGGAAUACUCAUGUACUGUCAGUGUUUCUGUCCAAGUACCAAUUUAUUGCCAUAUACCAAAAUAACUCAAGUCUAAAGUUGCAUAUAACCACAGAGGGACAAAAUUGUGUAUCAUAAAUGAGAAACAAUAUUCAUGGUUUUAUUUGUUUUGCUGAAGACACAAAAACAGACACAUAUUCAUAUAUCUUAACUGUCUUAAAAUUCAAAGUCAUUUAUGAGUUUGAAAGAGCUGUGAUUUUACAAGGGCCAACUUGUAGCUCUGCACGUGGCAUAUGCAUUGUUAUCUGUGUUCAAAUGAUACAAGACACUGCCAAAGUCUUCUUAACAGUUUAUUUUAUUGAACUCUAUUUUAGAGCGAUACAUGAUAUUCAUCAAUGCAUGGCAAUAUUUACAAGCUAUAUUGUUUCAUCUCUAUUAUUUCACCUUUGCCAUAAACAUAAAACUGUCCUGUCACAGAAAUCCAUUAUAAACUAUACACAACAUACUCUAGCAGUAAUCUUACCAAAGUUAUAUUUUCUCUGUCAGACAGGUAUUUUUACUUCUGAUAAUGGCACUGUUAAAUGCCUUAAAUGGGAGCUUAUGGGUGGCAUUACUGGGGCAAAAGAAUGUGUUAUAUCCUGAAAGAAUAUGACAUUUACUGUAUAGGCCAGAAUAAGCUUUGGAGGGUAUGUGAGAUAAAACGACCCACAUUUUCUGUACUGGCUAGAACAUUCUAGGUGUGCCUGUGUGCAUUUGUAAAUACACAAACUCUUGUAUUUCUCUUUAUAAAUUCUCAAUGUCUUGGGUGCUUGUAUUCUUUAACAUUGUGCUUUGAUUGCAAUAUAUUUAUUUGUAUGAAUCUGAAACCAUGCAUUUUGUGUGAGAGAAAGUUAUAUAACAGUAACAGAUAACUUUUAACAUAAGAACACUAUCAAUCUAUUAACAAUUUAAGUGCCUAAAUUGUUGAACCUACUGCCCUGCCAGCCCUGUAGAUUCUUAAUUUCCUUCUGGCACUUUGAUCUGAUCUGUGCUGCUGUUUAUAUGAAGAAUGGGGUCCAGUAGAUCGAAAAACUGCCAGCACUCAAUAGAUUAAAAGAUACAUAAACUUUAAGCUGCAUUUUAUAGCUCUAUUUAUAUCAUUACAUGCCUAGGCAAUGUACAUUAAUGACAGAUUCAUGGGCAGGGACAUUUAGCCCAGGUCUACUUGGUUAAAUGACAUCCAUUAAAGGUGGAAAUGCUAGUCAUAGGGUUGAAGAGCAUUCUCAUUGUCUUUUAAUUAACUGUAAACAAUAAUUAAACAACAGUUUAAAAAAGUGGUUUUAUUAGGGUUAUUUAAAUUGCCUUUAAUAAUUAAACAUGCUAUAUGCAAGUACCGCCAUGUGCCUUACUGUGUAAUAUACCUUUAUUUUCUUACUGUGCAGUUCUUCUGGUUAUGUUUUAUUUCAGUGUUAUAUAAAAUUAUGCAACCAGUAACCUAAACAUAAAAGCUAUUUUGAUAGUAGACUGUACAUUGUUUAAAACAUGUAACAUCUGUAAAUGAACAUUUUGUAAGUAAAACAGACUACAAUGACUCCUACUGAAUACUAAUUGCUCAGGUUGGGGCUAACAAACAUAAGCAUUUCUACCUUACAAAGCGAAAUACUGUGGAACAAUUACAUACAAUUAAAUUACUUCAAGUAACUCAGAACUGUGAUUUUUUUUUGUGUAACUUGCUAUUAAAAAUCCACAAGGUAACCACAACAUAAUUUUACAUUAUUAAAUAUGCUUUAGUUAUUGUAAAAUAAAUGUUAUGGAAGACUCUAA